UCAGAUACACUCUAUAUACAAUGCUCAUAUUUUCUCUUUCAUUUUAAGCAAUACACAAACUAAAAAGGACUCUACUUCAACCAGGAGCCAAGAUAAUUGUUAAGGGUUUGCUAACCCUUGACACUCAAAACAUGGGAUAAGAGGUUUUAGAUAACGUCAGAUUGUAAAGGUUGAUUAAUACAUUGGAAGUUAAUUGUAAAGAUUUUGAAGCCUUAAGGUGUAAGGCUUAGAUAGUGAAAUUCUCAAGUCCGAUGAGCUUGGAGGGGUGGACAUAUGCGAAGUUUGCCGAACCACGUAAAAAUUCCUUGUUCGGUUCUCUUUCCCUUCCCUCUCUAUAUUUUGAUUAUUGAUAUUAAUUUGAUUAUCAUUUAUUUAAGUUUAUCUUAUAUUUGCAUUCAUUUUGUUUUAAUUAUUUCAUAAGUUUUAGAAAUUCAAUUCACCCCUUCUUGGGUUGCAUAGCCAGUAUUUCAACAUCCUUUAUUCUUUCUAAAUUUCAUGAACAGUCCAAUUAGGGAGCACUCCUCAAUUACAUUAGGCACCAUAUCCCAUCAAAUACAAAUAUAUUAUGUUUAGCUUCUUUUUUUUUUCCCCUAAAAUCUAGUCAAAACAUAAAGUUUGGUAAAUAUUUCAUUUAGGCACUAAUUUUGCGACCUAAAUGAAAAUUAAUUCGUUUCCAUUUUCAUUUGCUUAUACUAUUAUAAAUUAAUUUGAUAUUAUUAUAUUCAUUUUUUACCAUAAUGUUACAUAAAAUUAAUAACCUAAUUUGUAUCACAACUACAUAUGUAUCUUUCAUCUUUUUGGGGACAAUUAUGUCCAAAUAAUAUACAUUUUAGUCAUGUAAUCAAAGGACAUAAUUGUUCAAAGGUAUAUAUUAUAGUUGGAUAAAAACUACCCUUAUAUUAAUAAGUAGAGAUAUGAAUCGCUCUAUAUGCAUCGUGGGAUUGAUUUUUUCCAAAUACUUGAAAAUAAAUUUAGUUCAAUGUGGGUCUAGAUAUUCCGAUUGCACUGCAUGAUCAAAAAGUUCAUAAAAUAUUCCUAUAAUUUUUUUAUGUAAACUAAUAAAAUUUAUAAUGUUAAAACAAUAAAAUUUAUAAUGCAAUAUUAAAAAUUACAAUCAAUUAAUAAUUGAUUUUAUUAACAUAGAUUUAAAUAUUGUUCUCAUUAGUAUAAAUGUCUCAUAUUUUAGUAUAUUUUCAUGUUAUAUAAAAAAUAAAAAAGUACAUUUCCAUGUAAAGUUGAGGAGGUAUUUGGUACUUGGUAGUUUUCUAGUUUGGAUUAACAAGUUUACUAUUUACUUAAAGUGAGGGUUGCUUUAUGAUAGUUACCAUUAUUAUUUGUUGCUUUAUCUUUGGACAUACUAUUGACUUUGGCGCCUUUGGUAUGAGAAGAAGGAAAUGGUAAAAAAGGGACACCAGUUCUAGCUAGCGAGCCAACUCCGACGCUCAAGCUAAUAAUAGGAUUCUUUAAGGUUUACAUUGGAUUUUAAGACAAAUAAUAAUGUUUUUUGAGCUUAAGCAUAUAUAUGUAGAUGAGAAGAAAAUAAGAGAGCGAUGAAUGAAUAUAAGUGAUAGGGAGCUAAGCCUUAUAUAGCUGAGUUAUUCCUCCUUGAUUCAUCUACUGUCCUAGAGGCUAAAAGACCUAUUUAGCUUGUUCAAGUGAUUUGUGUAAGUCACUCUUUUCUUCAUGAGUCAAACGAGAUAUUUGUUUCCUUGUUAAUAGAGAAAAAGGAAUAUUCCCAUAAUAUAUUCCUCAUGGUUUAUUCAUAGCUCAUCUCUUGAAAAUAUAUCUAGUUUCAUUAGUUAUUAAGAUUUCUUGAUAAGAUUUGUUAUAAUCUCAUCUGUUGAGGAAAAAGACAAAACAGUGGGCAGAGAUCAAUAAAGAUCACCUCAAAUAUUUUCUCAAGAUAGAGAUAAUCUCAGAUAUUUUUCUUGAUGUAAAGAUCACCUUAGGAGCUUUCAAAAUGGUUACCUCGGUCUUUAAGAUAUUUUCACAUUUAGCUAUUGAGUAUAUUUACCACAUGUCCUAUUUCUUUGAUAUCCACGAAUGGCAUAUUCUUUAGGUAUAACAUUACCGUUAAUGAAAAUUAUUAUUGAACAACGUAUUAACAUGCACAGAACAUUUUUGGGACAAAAGAAAGGACAAAAUAUUCGAAUGUUUUCUAAGUCUCAUACUCAAAUUCAUAAAAGAUAAUAGAUAAGGAUUAAUAUAUCAUUUUUUUAAUAUAUAACAAUAUUAUGAAAAUUUACAGAUAAAGAUAAAAUAGUUAAAGCAUUUGAUAGUUCACAAUAGGCAAAAGGCUCAAUUCAUAUAAGUGAUUAUAAUUAAAAAAGAAAAAGAAAACAACACAAUUAGUAUAAUUUGAAAAUAAGAAUUUACAAAAAUUGAAUCGAUCAAUCUUUGUAAAUCUAUACCAAUGAUAGAGACAAUCAAUAAUUUUUAUUUAUUAAUUUAUUUCCAUCACUAUUCUAUUCUUCUUGAGGAAAAUUUUUAGAAUACAUUAGAAAUACUACACUCAAUUAAUGCAUAUAUAUCACGUGUAGUUUAAUUAAAUAUAACUACUGAUUUUACAUGGUUAAUUUUUAAAAUAAAUGCACUCAUGGUAUAUAUGCAUUAAUUGGGUAUAGUAUCUCUGAUAAACUUAGAAUCUCUCAUUCCUACUGUAUGUGGUAUAAUAUAAGAGAGAAAGAAACUUAAUCAAGCUCCACUGUCCAUCCCAUCUCGUCUUCAAUACAGCCGGAUUGAAUUCCUGUUAGAAUUUCAUAUAGCUUUUGACCCACAGUCCCUACUCCUCUUUUAUACUCAGUCCUGCGUUCAGAGAAAAUAAAUAUUAUUUGUUGUAAAUUAAUAUGGAUUCAAUCUAUAAUCCCAUGUAAUUAAAACACUAAUAAUGUUGUUUUAAACCUUUUAUCUUGAUAGGUUAUGCUAUUAACUGGAUUAACCACCACUGCGGUUCCCGUACAAAAAACUUCUUCAGCAUCAAAUAAUUCCUCCACCAAAAUGGCUCGUUCUUCAACCUAAUCAAAGUUGAAUGUGAUUAUUGAGUUGAUAACAUCUCUUUAUACAUGUAUGUAUGUACGAGUGUGUGUGUAGAAUCUAGUUCAUGUAAAAAAUUAGUAAAUAAAGAAUGGCAAAAAUAAAGAGAUACCUG
rnacentral:lncRNA from 1 species